CAUGUUUAAAAUUUAAAUGCACAGAAAUGAACAUUCUGGCCUUUCUAAAAAUUAAUAGUAAAGUAAUAAAUUCUAUUGGUUGUAAUAAUGUUUUUAUUUUUUUAAUUAGACCACAAAAUAAAGAAAAAAAAAUUUCAUUAUUAAGUAUUGAUUAAUGCAUUACUGACUUUAUUCCAAACAGAGUAAAUGUUGCUAUUGUGGAGCACACUAUUUUGAACAGAAUGCUAACAAUGUUCUCAAAAUAACAGAUUUUUAGCUAGUACAAGCACUUCUGCACCACACAACAACAAAAGUUUAGUUAACCAACUACAGAUAUCUUCCUUUACCCUAGCUGUUGUGAUGGAAGAAGGAAUCAAAGCUGAAGCAGCUAGAAAAACAUUCCCUUUUCAUUUCAGCUCACAUUUUGCUGCAGAAUCCUCUGAACUAUCUAAAAUAGAUUUGAAUUUACAGAUGUAAAAGAUGUAUAUUCAGUGUAUACAACAGCUAGUAUAGAGACAGGCCAGGGGGUGUUGCUUUCACAAAAUAUCCUGGAAAUAUCAUGGAAAAUAAUGUUGGAAAAAGAGCCUGGGUAUUCAGAUAGUUCUCUGGUUUUCAUAUAGAGUAAAGGUGGGAUUUUGUCUAAGGCAUGUGACUAUAUCCAGGAGCUACGUCAGAGCAAUUCAUGACUAGAAGACGAGUUUAAUACUGUGGCUAGACUGAGGAUGUACAAUCAGCUUCUCAAGCAAGAGGUGGAAGAGUGGCAAUCAAAGAACCAGAUGAUAAGAACUCAAUUAAGACAGCAUGGCAUAGUGGCAGCAUCGAUGGACCCUCAAUGAAGGACUAAAGAUCCACCAUAAGAUAUCUUCUACUGUGGUCUUAUCAUGAAUUCUGUUUAAACAGGUUUGAAAUAAGAAAUCAUUCUAUCUGUGGACAAUCACACAGCCUGUAAUCGGAAAGACUGCAUUUUUAUCUGAUUUGCCUAGGUGGUAAAGGAUUUUACAAAGCUCCUGAACAUGGCCUUGAUUUUUCUUCACUUUCUCAAGUGUUUGACUUCACAUACAGCCUUUUAUUAUUUCAGAUUUUCAGGUGAUUUAUUUUUACUGCACUGAAAUAGUGUAUACUUGUUGUAUAAUCUGUUUUUAGAUCUGUACAUUUAAUUUUCAGGACUACUGUAGAAGUGGAUGUUUCAUUUUUUUAUUUUUUAUUUUUUUUAUGUAAUGUGUAAAUCUCGGUGCCCUUCUUUGGGUUCUAUUUAGAUAAAAUUUGAUAAACAUUACGACAAUUCAAAUUGGCCAUCAUCUUUCUAUGCCUUUCUAUUCCAGCCUCCAUGUAAUAUUCCAUGCUUCCAACAUGCUACUUUAAUGGUUGUUAAGCUUGUAUUUAAUAAGGCUAUGUCCUCAACCAGUGCCUUCUGACACUUUUAAACUUUGUCAUUUAGCCUAGAGCUACAAUUUAGAAUAUUGUCUGCAAUUUUAAUAGGACACCCCAUCCAUCAGUAAAUGUUACUUUUUAUUAAAUCAGUAGUAAUUUACUAUUGCAUGUAGUGGGAUUUGUGGUGCAAUUUCAACUCAAAAUUAAAUAGCAGCCAUUAAUGAUACAUGAAACGAUGUGUAUUGUCAAUAUGAUUUACAUAUUCUCUACAUGUUUUAAACCAUUGUUUACUAUUUAUUUAUUACAUUUGGAAAUGUCUUAAUGUUAUUGAUACUUUUCAUUACUGAGUGGUUGUUCAUAUGGGAAAAUGUAUUCAUCAAUAUACACAAAACAAAGACAUUACAGAAUUAUAAAGACAAUUUUUUUUUUUUUAAUAAAAAUUACAACCAAACAUUUAAUUCAAAA